rnacentral:rRNA from 1 species
UACGUAGGGGGCAAGCGUUGUCCGGAAUCAUUGGGCGUAAAGAGCGUGUAGGCGGCCAACUAAGUCAGACGUGAAAUCCCUCGGCUUAACCGAGGAACUGCCCUCCAAACUGCUUCGCUUGAGACCGGGAGAGGUGAGUGGAAUUCCCAGUGUAGCGGUGAAAUGCGUAGAUAUUGGGAGGAACACCAGUGGCGAAGGCGGCUCACUGGACCGGUACUGACGCUGAUGCGCGAAAGCGUGGGGAGCAAACGGG